UACGGAGGGUGCGAGCGUUGUCCGGAAUCAUUGGGCGUAAAGGGCGCGUAGGUGGCCCGGUCAGUCCGUGGUGAAAGCGCGGGGCUCAACCCCGCGUCGGCCAUGGAUACUGCUGGGCUGGAGCACUGUAGAGGCAGGCGGAAUUCCAGGUGUAGCGGUGGAAUGCGUAGAGAUCCGGAAGAACACCGGUGGCGAAGGCGGCCUGCUGGGCAGUUGCUGACACUGAGGCGCAACAGCGUGGGGAGCAAACAGG
rnacentral:rRNA from 1 species